UACGGAGGGUGCAAGCGUUAUCCGGAUUCACUGGGUUUAAAGGGUGCGUAGGUGGGAAUGUAAGUCAGUGGUGAAAUCUCCGAGCUUAACUCGGAACUGCCGUUGAUACUAUCUGUCUUGAAUACCGUGGAGGUGAGCGGAAUAUGUCAUGUAGCGGUGAAAUGCUUAGAUAUGACAUAGAACACCAAUUGCGAAGGCAGCUCGACUACACGAGACAUUGACU
rnacentral:rRNA from 1 species